GGGUCCAUAGGCUCAAUGGUAAACCGCGGGACUCCAAAUCCCGUUUUGCUGGUUCGAAUCCAGCUGGGCCCG
rnacentral:tRNA from 1 species